rnacentral:ncRNA from 1 species
UUAAAAGUUUGAUUUUGGCUUGAAAAUUAAUUUAAAUUUUUUUUUGCAUGAAUUUUUUUGAUAGAUUUAUUUUUCUAAAUGAUUAAAAUUUUUAAUUUCAGUAUUUGAUUUUCAUUUAAUUAAUUAACUUUAAUUGGGAAAAAAUUUUAUUACAGAAUAAUGUUAUGCCAGCAUUCGCGGUUAUAUUUCAUGUAAAAAUUAAUUUUUUUUGGAUAUAUUAGAUUAAUUUUUUUUUAAUUUGUUAAUUUAGGUGAAAUUUAUUAAUAAUAUUUUUUUUUAUUCUAUUUAGACUAUUUGUUAAACUAGGAUUAGAUACCCUAUUAUUUUAGAAUAAUUUUAAAUCCAGGUAGUAUUUUUAUAAUGAAAUUUAAUAGAUCUGGCGGUUUUUAAAUCUUUUCAGAGGAACCUGUAGUAUAAAUGAUAAUCCACGAUAAAUUUUACCUUUUUUUUCUUGUAUAUCUCUGUCGUUGAAUGUAAUUAAAAUUAAUUUUCUUAAUAAUUAUUUUAUUUAUGUUAGGUCAAGGUGCAGUUAUAAAUAGGUAACUAUGGGUUACAAUAAUUUAUUUUAUUUUUGAUAAUUAUUUUUUAGUUAAUUUGAAUUUGGAUUUGAAAGUAAUUUUUUUUAUUAAAUUUAUUGAAUUUAAGCUCUUAUUUAUGUACAUAUCGCCCGUCAUUCUCAUAUAUUGAGACAAGUCGUAACAAAGUAGAUGUAUUGGAAAAUGUAUCUAGAAU